rnacentral:lncRNA from 1 species
GGUGACUCUUCACUGAGUCCUUCUCUGGGGUUGGCACUAGGCUGAAGAGGACUGCGUGGCCGUAGGUUCUGGCCCCGCCCCAAGGGGCAGCCACGCUCGUGACUGAUAUGUGUGGGGGAAAACAAUGCAGACCCCAUGCCCCUAUUCAAGCCAACUCCAUGGGGUCACCUAGGCUCCUGAGCUCCCAGGGGACCAGCUGAGGCCUCAAUGGCAGCUGCGUCACUGUCCAACUGCUCCCUCUGCUCAGCCUUGCCCCUGCACCCCCUCACAGGUAAGCUUCUCCUGCCUACUCCCCCAAACACCAUCCAUCUCAGUCUGCUUCCUGGGAAACUCAAGCUAAGACCCCUUCUGAAGGCACUCAUCACAUUCAGAGCUGCCACCUGCUCAUCUCCCAGCAGCCCUUCCCAACUGAGACCCCAGCGGAGGAAGCCUGGAAACCUCAGACCUUCACAAAGGGCCUUGUGGCACCAAAGCCCCAGGGUCACCUCAACUUCCACAAGCUCGGAAACCUUGAAGCAAGGACAGCGAGAUCAGCAUUUCCCUUCUUGCAGUGGGGUGCCCUUCGUGAGCCAAGAGAAGAAGACCCACGUGCAAUUCUGUAGGCUUCCCAAUCUGGCCUGAGCCCAGAGAAAGAAGCAGAAAACAAACAGAAUUAGAACCUGCAGGCUGCAGAAGCAAUUCGGGAUGUGGACAUGAGGCUCACGGUAAUCAUACUUAGUGUGAACCAGGCAGGAGAACUCAGCCUACAGAAGCUCCCAGGUCACCAAGUGCCGUCCCUACUUAGAACCACACU